AGCCAGGGCAGCACUGAAAUUUGGACACAGAAAUACAGAAGGAAGGUGGUGUGAAGAUGCAGGGAGGAGACAGCCAUGUGAAUAGAGAGGGGAAGGUGGUGUGAAGAUGCAGGGAGGAGACAGCCAUGUGAAUAGAGAUGUCAAGGAUACUGGCCAGCAACUGAAGCUGGAAGAGACGAGGAAGCAUUCUUAACCCAGAGCCAUGGAGAGAGUACGGCCCUGCUGACGCCUUGCAUUUAGACUUCCAGGCUCCAGA
rnacentral:lncRNA from 1 species